CGGUGGUAGUAGACGCGUUAACUCAAAUAGCCAAUGUGACAAAUCAAGAGAGGCAAACAAAUUCAUCUUCAUACUGACCAAUGCUGAGAUCACAUCGAUAUCGAGCUCAUUGGAAACUGUCGCAACCCUUGUGGAGGAGAAAGGCUUAGUUACACAAGAUGUUGCCAAGAUUUUUUUCAAGUCUGCAAGUAAUUUGUUAGAUGACAAAAACAAAGAGUCCUGGCUUUCUAUGCAAGAGUCGAAAAGCAAUGGCGGAGAAAAAGUUAUAUCUUCAGUCGAAAAAUUGGGCGAAGCACUGAGGAAAAAAAUACAAAAUGGAACAGAUGGAUUUAAUACUUCAACCACCAUAAUUGAACCGAAUGUCGCCAUAGCGGUGAAGAAAGUAAAGAAGCAGGAUAUUGAAUUCCCUACAGCAAACUUUACCACCGAACGGUCAAUAGAUGACUGGGUUAAGACUCGCAAAACAGUAUUCGUCUUGACGCCGAAGCAUUAGGAAACAUUGACGUUGUCUGGACAGCUAUAAUGUACAAGGAUAUGAGUGGCAUAUUACCUGGCAGAUCAGAAGACAUCACUGCCUCAACAAGUGGCGAAGUGUUUAACGGACCCGUUCUUUCGUUAUCAAUAUUUCCGAAAGUUGACAAUCUAGAUCCGCCUGUCAAGGUUGUCUUUAAACAUUCACAG